rnacentral:rRNA from 1 species
GACGAACGCUGGCGGCGUGCUUAACACAUGCAAGUCGAACGGAAAGGCCCUGCUUUUGUGGGGUGCUCGAGUGGCGAACGGGUGAGUAACACGUGAGUAACCUGCCCUUGACUUUGGGAUAACUUCAGGAAACUGGGGCUAAUACCGGAUAGGAGCUCCUGCUGCAUGGUGGGGGUUGGAAAGUUUCGGCGGUUGGGGAUGGACUCGCGGCUUAUCAGCUUGUUGGUGGGGUAGUGGCUUACCAAGGCUUUGACGGGUAGCCGGCCUGAGAGGGUGACCGGCCACAUUGGGACUGAGAUACGGCCCAGACUCCUACGGGAGGCAGCAGUGGGGAAUAUUGCACAAUGGGCGGAAGCCUGAUGCAGCAACGCCGCGUGCGGGAUGACGGCCUUCGGGCUGUAAACCGCUUUCGCCUGUGAUGAAGCGUGAGUGACGGUAAUGGGUAAAGAAGCACCGGCUAACUACGUG